rnacentral:tRNA from 1 species
GAUAGAAUGGCUGAGUUAGGCAUUAGACUGUAAAUCUAAGAACAGAGGAAGCCCCCUCUUUCUAUCA